UUGAAGAGUUUGAUCAUGGCUCAGAUUGAACGCUGGCGGCAGGCCUAACACAUGCAAGUCGAGCGGUAGCACAGAGAGCUUGCUCUCGGGUGACGAGCGGCGGACGGGUGAGUAAUGUCUGGGAAACUGCCUGAUGGAGGGGGAUAACUACUGGAAACGGUAGCUAAUACCGCAUAAUGUCGCAAGACCAAAGUGGGGGACCUUCGGGCCUCAUGCCAUCAGAUGUGCCCAGAUGGGAUUAGCUAGUAGGUGGGGUAACGGCUCACCUAGGCGACGAUCCCUAGCUGGUCUGAGAGGAUGACCAGCCACACUGGAACUGAGACACGGUCCAGACUCCUACGGGAGGCAGCAGUGGGGAAUAUUGCACAAUGGGCGCAAGCCUGAUGCAGCCAUGCCGCGUGUGUGAAGAAGGCCUUCGGGUUGUAAAGCACUUUCAGCGGGGAGGAAGGCGUUAAGGUUAAUAACCUUGGCGAUUGACGUUACCCGCAGAAGAAGCACCGGCUAACUCCGUGCCAGCAGCCGCGGUAAUACGGAGGGUGCAAGCGUUAAUCGGAAUUACUGGGCGUAAAGCGCACGCAGGCGGUCUGUCAAGUCGGAUGUGAAAUCCCCGGGCUUAACCUGGGAACUGCAUUCGAAACUGGCAGGCUAGAGUCUUGUAGAGGGGGGUAGAAUUCCAGGUGUAGCGGUGAAAUGCGUAGAGAUCUGGAGGAAUACCGGUGGCGAAGGCGGCCCCCUGGACAAAGACUGACGCUCAGGUGCGAAAGCGUGGGGAGCAAACAGGAUUAGAUACCCUGGUAGUCCACGCCGUAAACGAUGUCGAUUUGGAGGUUGUGCCCUUGAGGCGUGGCUUCCGGAGCUAACGCGUUAAAUCGACCGCCUGGGGAGUACGGCCGCAAGGUUAAAACUCAAAUGAAUUGACGGGGGCCCGCACAAGCGGUGGAGCAUGUGGUUUAAUUCGAUGCAACGCGAAGAACCUUACCUGGUCUUGACAUCCACAGAACUUUCCAGAGAUGGAUUGGUGCCUUCGGGAACUGUGAGACAGGUGCUGCAUGGCUGUCGUCAGCUCGUGUUGUGAAAUGUUGGGUUAAGUCCCGCAACGAGCGCAACCCUUAUCCUUUGUUGCCAGCGGUUAGGCCGGGAACUCAAAGGAGACUGCCAGUGAUAAACUGGAGGAAGGUGGGGAUGACGUCAAGUCAUCAUGGCCCUUACGACCAGGGCUACACACGUGCUACAAUGGCAUAUACAAAGAGAAGCGACCUCGCGAGAGCAAGCGGACCUCAUAAAGUAUGUCGUAGUCCGGAUUGGAGUCUGCAACUCGACUCCAUGAAGUCGGAAUCGCUAGUAAUCGUAGAUCAGAAUGCUACGGUGAAUACGUUCCCGGGCCUUGUACACACCGCCCGUCACACCAUGGGAGUGGGUUGCAAAAGAAGUAGGUAGCUUAACCUUCGGGAGGGCGCUUACCACUUUGUGAUUCAUGACUGGGGUGAAGUCGUAACAAGGUAACCGUAGGGGAACCUGCGGUUGGAUCACCUCCUU
rnacentral:rRNA from 1 species